rfam:Triticum aestivum genome assembly, contig: Triticum_aestivum_CS42_TGACv1_scaffold_000755_1AL
UUGAUACUUCCUUCGUCCGAAAAAGCUUGUCCUUCAAAUGAAAGUAUCUAGCACCAAGUUAGUACUAGAUACAUUUGUUUAAGGAACAAGUUUGAGACAAGUUUUUUUGGAUGGAGGGAGUACCUA